UCGAUCCGUGCAGGGUCGAUGAGGAUGUGUCAUCAGCAAAGCGACCGGUGUUUAGCGGCGUCCUGUCCCGCCAGUCCCUCGAGCCCUUGACCCUCCUAAGACCUGACAGGGGGAUGUCUCUACGCUGCGGGGAUGCGGCUCGCAGCCUGGGGUCCUGGGUAUUUGGAAGAUAUUUAUACAACCCGACUAGAGCAUUAAGUUCUUUGCCCGAUAAAAAAAAGGAAUUUUUACAGAAUGGACCAGAUCUUCAAGAUUUUGUGUCUGGUGAUCUUGCAGACAAGAGCACCUGGGAUGAAUAUAAAGGAAAUUUAAAGCGCCAGAAAGGAGAAAGGUUAAGACUACCUCCGUGGUUAAAGACAGAGAUACCCAUGGGUAAAAAUUACAAUAAGCUGAAAACUACGUUGCGAAAUUUAAAUCUCCACACAGUCUGCGAGGAAGCCCGGUGUCCCAACAUUGGAGAGUGUUGGGGAGGUGGAGAAUUUGCUACAGCCACAGCCACCAUCAUGUUGAUGGGGGACACAUGUACAAGAGGUUGCAGAUUUUGUUCUGUUAAGACUGCAAGAAACCCCCCUCCGCUGGAUGCCAAUGAGCCCUACAAUACGGCCAAAGCAAUUGCAGAGUGGGGUCUGGAUUAUGUUGUGCUGACAUCGGUGGAUCGAGAUGAUGUGCCCGAUGGGGGAGCUGAGCACAUCGCCAAGACUGUCUAGUGCCUGAAGGAGAGGAAUCCAAAAAUCCUUGUGGAAUGCCUCACCCCUGACUUCCGAGGAGAUCUGGGAGCAGUAGAAAAGGUCGCUCUGUCGGGCUUAGAUGUGUACGCACACAAUGUAGAAACUGUUCCGGAAUUACAGAGGAAAGUUCGUGAUCCCCGGGCCAAUUUUGACCAGUCUCUUCGUGUAUUGAAACAUGCUAAGAAAGUUCAGCCUGAUAUUGUUUCCAAAACAUCAAUAAUGCUGGGCCUAGGUGAAACGGAUGAGCAAGUCCAAGCAACGAUGAAAGCACUCCGCGCAGCAGAUGUGGACUGUUUAACUCUAGGACAGUAUAUGCAGCCAACGAAGCGCCACCUUAAGGUUGAAGAGUACGUUACUCCUGAGAAGUUCAAGUACUGGGAAAAAGUAGGAAAUGAGCUUGGAUUUCAUUACACUGCAAGUGGCCCUUUGGUGCGCUCUUCAUAUAAAGCAGGUGAAUUUUUCCUGAAAAAUCUAGUGGCUAAAAGAAAAACGAAAGCUUCUAAAGUUUAGCCAAGACCUUCAGAAUUACAGGAAUUUGAAGAUUUUACUUACAGUUGGUGCCAGCCUUUCAGGAUUCCAGUGUAUCUGACCAACGCUGUUGUGUCUGCAGUGUCUGGUGUCUGGUCCAGGAACAGGAGCAGGUAGCUGUAAUUCCUCUCAGGCCAUCCCCAGCUACCUGAGUAAGACCCGAUCCCAAAAUAAAAAAAAAAAAAAAAAAAU